CCCGCCGGCGACCGGCGCACGGGUGAGUAACACGUAUGAAACCUGCCCGUAGCAGGGGAUAAGCGGAAGAAAUUCCGUCUAAUACCGCGUAACAACCCAUGGAGGCAUCUCUGUGGGUUUAAAGGAAGCGAUUCCGGCUACGGAUGGUCAUGCGUCGCAUUAGCUUGUUGGCGGGGUAACGGCCCACCAAGGCGACGAUGCGUAGGGGUUCUGAGAGGAAGGUCCCCCACACUGGUACUGAGACACGGACCAGACUCCUACGGAAGGCAGCAG
rnacentral:rRNA from 1 species